UAGCCUACGGGAGGCAGCAGUGAGGAAUAUUGGUCAAUGGGCUUACGCCUGAACCAGCCAAGUCGCGUGGGGGAAGACUGCCCUAUGGGUUGUAAACCUCUUUUGUCAGGGAGCAACGCCGGCUACGUGUAGCCGGACUGAGAGUACCUGAAGAAAAAGCAUCGGCUAACUCCGUGCCAGCAGCCGCGGUAAUACGGAGGAUGCGAGCGUUAUCCGGAUCUAUUGGGUUUAAAGGGUGCGUAGGCGGAAUGCCAUGUCAGCGGUAAAGAUUCGUGGCUCAACCCCGUCCGG
rnacentral:rRNA from 1 species